GAGCGAGAAAGGUGGACAGAGAUUAGACAAAAGGAGAAGGCAAAAGUGGACAAAGAUGGGACGGAGAGAGAGAGAUGGAAAAGAGAGGAGGGGGAGUGGAGGAUUUCCUGAUUUGUUUGUUCCUCUCACACACUUUUCUUCCUGGCCGUCUGUAUUUAGACUUCCUCUUCCACUGGGGCUAUUCUGAGACACCUCACUCACUGCUGUUGUUCCCCAGACAGCUCUGAUUACCCCUCAGCAUACUGGGCUGGUGUGUGAGUACGUGUGUGUGCAUGCGUACGUGCUUGUGUGCUUGUGAGUGUGUUUGAGUUUGAGCGACUGGGUGAGUAUUUAGAAGUGUGGGUGCUGUGACAGAAUUGAGUGGGAGGAUUAUGCCCCCCAAACUCAUUAGCGGAUAAUGACCUUUUUUCAUUCAUGUGUCUUUGAAAGACUGAUAGAAAGAAAGAAAGAAAGAAAGAAAGAAAGAAGGACAAAAAGAAAGAAGAGAGGACAUCAAGAGAAUGGCAGCAGGUGCGAUCAAAAACAAUACCCACAUCACAGGUGCCACAAAACAGCGGAUCUUUGAGUUUUGGGAUCCCAGCAUGGCUCUAGUCUCUGUGUGGAAAAUGAGGAGGCCAAUGCUGAACCCACAGGUGCAGAGGCCUGAGAAACAGCCCAUUGACUAAUACACACGAGGCACUGAAGCACAAUCAUAGGAUGUGCUAUGCUCUGAGAGGCUGUUAGCGCUCUCUCUUUCUCACACUCACACACACACACACACACACACACACACACACACACACACACACACACACACACAGUUUUGAUUAACAAGGUUUACACAAGUGCCUUUCUCCUACUGUGUUUUCUCCAAUUGUGUUUGUGUGCAUGUGUGUGUGCGUGCUUACAACAGACCUGCAGUGGGAACCCCCAUCUGGAACCUUCUACCCUCUCUUCCUGUUUACCAUGAUUGCCUACGUACAGAUCUGAAGCCUCUAUCCCCCUUAACAACAACACCCUUCCUCUCCAGUCAGUCUAUGUCCUUUAUAAUUCAGAUCAAUAAGUACUCCAAAAGAAUUGUGCUCACCAAGGAGAAAAGGAAAAGAAGCCGAAUGGGACACAGUUUUGAACCUGUUGAGGAAAGAAUGGCUAAGAAAGAAACCAUUUUAACAUAUUGGAACCAGGGUUGUUGAGUUUAUAUAUGUGUGCACCAAAACUACCCUGGGUUUGCCCAUGCAGCAGACAGAGGGGAGAAAGCAGACAGAGGGGAGAAAGCAGACAGAGGGGAGAAAGCAGACAGAGGGGAGAAAGCAGACAGACACAAACA
rnacentral:lncRNA from 13 species